CUAGCUUCGAAGGAAGGGAGCAGAGACCAAGAGAUGGUCAGGUGGGCGAGCUAGGGCGCCUGGCGAGCUGGGGCGCCUCGAUCCCAAGCGCGGCGGUCGGCCGCUGGGCCGGUGCAGGGCAAGCGGCCACUGGUGCGGGGCAGGGCAGGCGGCGACGGGGCAUGGCAGCGGCCGCUGGGCAGGGCAGGCGGCCGCUGGGCAGAGAAGGCGGCGGCGGAGCAGGGCGGGGCAGGGCAGGCGGGCGUCCGACAAAGUUUCGGAUCUAGGCGGUGACCUCGACUGAAAGCGCGGCCGCCAAGAAGACAUCAAAGACAGUUCUACCCCAACAGAAGCCGGCGACUCUAGCUGCCCCGCGUCGACACAUAGAAGCUGGACUCCUCUCCCGUCGUCCUCCCCGUCCUCGAGCUGUUCUAGGAGAAGAAGGUGGGCCGACUGACGGGGUAGGACGAGGUCGAGAGGCAGUAACCGGAGACGCUUCCUUAGUAGUGUAAGUGUUCUUAUAAAAGAGGUCUUCUACUGACACUCCACUAUCUUAGACUAUUUGUGACGGUACAAAAAAUGGUUCGACUCGGUCUAUAAACCUACCAAGACCACCACGUCUUUUAAUUCCUGUUACUUAGUUGAAACGCGAAACCACGUAACGUUCCUUAUGAUUUUCUUAGAGUAAGCGAAAAGUGUUACAAAGUACCUGGUUAAGCUUGAAAUGAACUGUCUGUUGGUUCACGACUUAAACGGGCGCCAGUGGAGGUGUGUAAACAGUGUCUAAUAAACUCGCUAAAAUCACAACCGUUUUUCGAUGUUAACGGUUGGAUGGCACUAUCGGAUUGCCUCGCCCCUUGUCAGGUUUACGAUUGACAGAGUGCUCUUCACCGUGAACUUCAAGUCAGUGAGUGGUGUCAAGAACCCAGUACGGAAGCUUUGCAUUAGACGGUUAGUUAACAUAAUAAACUCCUGGAGAACCACAGAUGCUGUGAAGGGGACCUACUAUGUAAUUUGGAUAUGUGAAUACGUUAGGACGCCAACUGAGGAUCACGAAAUAGAAGGUUGCCCUUAAGUACCAGGAUAAACGCAUUUCCCCCAAUACAAUUACGACUGUGGUGAAGUUCAAGCCGUUUACCUCGUCGACGUCGUCUUUCCAUGUUAUCAGCUAGAGCACUGUGAAGAGGACCACCUGUUUUAGUCUACGUGGUAUUAAAGUCCGGAGAAGUCGCACUCUUUAACAGGUUCCCUUUUCUACCAAAACAACGACGACUGAAACAUUGAUGUCUUUAAGCACCACGACAUGGCGACUUAGGUUAUGACACCAAGGUAGUCCGUCUCCUCGCGUACAUAAAUACACAAAUAGUCGUAUUCUUGGAAUGAUAGAACGAUCACUAAGGUCGAAGGAGUGACUAUUUACCUCUUCUCCCAUAACGAGUACACUUCUCCGUAGAAGAACUUUUACGGAGUGUCUUGUAACAGUGACAACUUGUUUUUAAUAGUGCUCCUACCCCUCCUCUUUUACGGAUAGUACAGCCACCUAUGGCAAUAUAUGAGAGACUAGGUUUGUCUUUUCAUAGUUCUCGGAGGGGUGGACCCUUUCAGUAGUGGAACAGUUUCCUAAGAGAAGAACGGGAGUUGUCCGAUUCUCCUCUUUAUCUAGAUCUCUUCAGUUCUCGAUUCUCCUCACUGGGAUGGGUGCUGUUCCUAAUACUUCAUACGUAGUCUCGCUUUUUAUUACGUACCUAAUAACGAUUUUAAAGAGCUCCUUUUCUUGAGAUAUACCGAUAUCUCUUCCCGCCGCUUUGUGAAGAGAUACGUAGAUGUCGACAACUCUUUAAAUCGUUGUCCAUGACACUCCCCCGUAAGAGAUGUCUGAUUUUCGUGGUCGUGGUCGUGGUCGUACAAAGGGUCCUAGGUCAGGUCGUGACGUGUACCAACAGCUGACCUAGUGAGGGAUUACACACAUUAACUACAGCUAGAGUACGUUAUUGACCUAAGUAUGGUCAACAUGUCGACGGUAAACCUUAUUUUAAUACGCCUCGUCCUUGGUCGUACAAGACGGGAUCCAAGACGCCGGAAUACCCUAUGUCAUGAAUCCUUGUAAGAGCAAAGAUAGAGUACAAUUUUUUCCUUCUAGUAAAGUUAGACAUUUACGGCUGCCUCCUGGCGAUUGAGCAUGAGGCAACCUCAUGUACAUAAUGCCCGGUCAAGAGAACGCGAGCAUCUACCGAAUGGGACCUUUAAUUCGGAGGAAGUCUUUUUCUUUUGAACCUUUAAUUCCGGUUCGAACUUUCUUGAAACAGAAAAAUCCCAUUUUCUUUAUUGAAUAAAAACCCCAACCCUAAUUGCAUGCUG
rnacentral:rRNA from 1 species